rnacentral:rRNA from 1 species
GCAUAUCAAUAAGCGGAGGAAAAGAAACCAACAGGGAUUGCCUUAGUAGCGGCGAGUGAAGCGGCAAAAGCUCAAAUUUGAAAUCUGGCACUUUCAGUGUCCGAGUUGUAAUUUGAAGAAGGUAUCUUUGGGUCUGGCUCUUGUCUAUGUUUCUUGGAACAGAACGUCACAGAGGGUGAGAAUCCCGUGCGAUGAGAUGACCCAGACCUAUGUAAAGUUCCUUCGAAGAGUCGAGUUGUUUGGGAAUGCAGCUCUAAGUGGGUGGUAAAUUCCAUCUAAAGCUAAAUAUUGGCGAGAGACCGAUAGCGAACAAGUACAGUGAUGGAAAGAUGAAAAGAACUUUGAAAAGAGAGUGAAAAAGUACGUGAAAUUGUUGAAAGGGAAGGGCUUGAGAUCAGACUUGGUAUUUUGUAUGUUACUCUCUCGGGGGUGGCCUCUACAGUUUACCGGGCCAGCAUCAGUUUGGGCGGUAGGACAAUUGCAAAGAAAUGUGGCACUGCCUCGGUAGUGUGUUAUAGUCUUUGUCGAUACUGCCAGCCUAGACUGAGGACUGCGGCUUCGGCCUAGGAUGUUGGCAUAAUGAUCUUAAGUCGCCCGUCUUGAAACACGGACC